rnacentral:tRNA from 1 species
AAAUGUGCCUGAACGUAAAGGGUC